rnacentral:rRNA from 1 species
GACGAACGCUGGCGGCGUGCUUAACACAUGCAAGUCGAACGAUGAAGCCUAGCUUGCUAGGUGGAUUAGUGGCGAACGGGUGAGUAAUACGUGAGUAACCUACCUUUAACUCUGGGAUAAGCCUGGGAAACUGGGUCUAAUACCGGAUACGACCAAUCUCCGCAUGGGGUGUUGGUGGAAAGCGUUAUGUAGUGGUUAUAGAUGGGCUCACGGCCUAUCAGCUUGUUGGUGAGGUAACGGCACACCAAGGCGACGACGGGUAGCCGGCCUGGGAGGGUGACCGGCCACACUGGGACUGAGACACGGCCCAGACUCCUACGGGAGGCAGCAGUGGGGAAUAUUGCACAAUGGGCGCAAGCCUGAUGCAGCGACGCCGCGUGAGGGAUGACGGCCUUCGGGUUGUAAACCUCUGUUAGCAGGGAAGAAGAGAAAUUGACGGUACCUGCAGAGAAAGCGCCGGCUAACUACGUG